rnacentral:lncRNA from 1 species
GCUUUCUUUAUAUCUGAGUGUGAACACCAUAAACACCCAGCAUGUGUGUGUGUGGGUGGUAUGCAGCAGGUGCUCCAUAAGGGCAUACUGCUGAUAAUCUGAUUCCACCCUCCCAGCUCCCACAGGCCUGUCGACAGAGCAGGUUUAUAUUCUCAUCGGGGUCUCUGUGGCCUUUCUCCUUUGUCUCUCCCUCCUGGUCCUUCUCCUCCUCCACCGUCAGCUCCGGAGAAAACGAGGUAGGUCUCAGGGACAGGGGAGGGUGACUGGGCAGGCCGUGUGGGGGUGCUGGAAAGAAGCCUUCUCUUCUUAAUUCACACCUGACUCUCCUCAGGGCCUCCCAGAAGCAAAGACGAGAAGCAGAGACGCCAGGGGAGGUGAGGGCCCUGGGGAUGACCUCUCAUACUGCCUGUCCUCUGCCCCCAGGCAGCCCUCAGGGCUCACAUGUUCUUUCUCCUCAGGCUCAGCCCAGCUGUGGAUGUCCUAGAUGGGACCCCAGGUGUGGCCAGCGUUGACAGAUUUCCUGAUGUGGAUGGAGAGACCCCUGCUGCAGGAGGCUCCCAGGAGGUGACCUACGCCCAGCUGAACCACAAGCUCCUCACCCAGAGAGUGGCCAGAGCUGUGUCCCCGCCGUCCACAGAGCCCCUGGCCAAGUCCAGCACGUAUGCAACCAUUGCCAGACGUUGACCGCAUGCCCACCUGGCCUCUGCACUAAAGAUGCAGGAAGCCACACUUGCAAAAGCCCAAAGUGGACGUUGGGUUUCCCUGUGGAAUCAUUCCUUUCUGGAAAGACAUCUAGUCGAUCCUCCUGCAGGCAAGAGCUCAAGUCCUGAGAUCCCACAUUACCUUCUAGGAGAUUCAUUAACCAUGUGAUCCCUCCCACAAGCAACUAGCUCCUCAGAGAGGUGUAGCACUUGUUUCAAGAGACCCAGCUAUGGUGUUUAUUGCCUGUUUCCAGAGACCCAGCUUUAGUUCUUGGCUGUUUCUAGAGACCCAGAUUUGGCACUUGGCUGUUUCAAGAGAGCCAGCUAUGGUGCUUGGCUGCUUCCAGAGACCCAGCUAUGUUCCUACAGUUGCCCAGUGAAUUCCUGAUGUGUCCUGUGAAUUUUCCACUGCCCCUGGAGAACCAUUUUGUCUUCUGAGCUGACUCUGCAAACUUCCUAGAGUGCGGGUGGUGAU